rnacentral:tRNA from 1 species
GCUGCCUUAGCUCAGUGGUAGAGCACUUCCUUGGUAAGGAAGAGGUCUUGGGUUCAAGUCCCAAAGGCAGCACCA